rnacentral:rRNA from 1 species
GACGAACGCUGGCGGCGUGCUUAACACAUGCAAGUCGAGCGGUAAGGCUCCUUCGGGAGUACACGAGCGGCGAACGGGUGAGUAACACGUGAGCAAUCUGCCCUUCACUUUGGGAUAACUUCCGGAAACGGAAGCUAAUACCGAAUACGACCAUCGCGGACAUCCGCUGAUGGUGGAAAGUUCCGGCGGUGAAGGAUGAGCUCGCGGCCUAUCAGCUUGUUGGUGGGGUAACGCCCACCAAGGCGACGACGGUAGCCGGCCUGAGAGGGUGACCGGCCACACUGGGACUGAGACACGGCCCAGACUCCUACGGGAGGCAGCAGUGGGGAAUAUUGCGCAAUGGGCGAAAGCCUGACGCAGCGACGCCGCGUGGGGAUGACGGCCU